rnacentral:lncRNA from 1 species
UUUUUAGUGAUUUCAUGGUUUUAAAUGAAAAAGAUUUGAGUUUUGAAAAGAAAAGACCGAGGAGGUUUUUGCCAGGUUCGGCCGCCGAAAGUGAAGUUUGGCCGCCGAACAUGAGUUGGUUUUGGGAGCGCUUUUGGCCUCCGAAAGCUAUGUUUGAACAAACCAGGUUCGGCCGCCGAACCUCAAGUUCGGCCGCCGAACAUAGGGGUGUUUUGCAUGCACGUUAGGCCACCGAAGGAGGUUUGGCUGGCCACCUAUA